AAAAGAUCACUAUUGAACAUGCCGGGAGUCAACUCAAAAAUUUCAAUUAGGUUGCAAUACACCGGGCUGCUUCUUUGUUCUAUCAUGAUUGGGCGGACUUUCCCUCAGGAAUGUUUAUCAUGGAGGCCAGUGUUGCCAAUGCAUCCGCGAACUUAUUUUUUCUCUGGGUAGUGGAGAGAAACUGAUUUUCUUGAAUUGCUCAGUGAGCUUUUCAAGAUAAGCAUGGUA
rnacentral:lncRNA from 1 species